GAUGAACGCUGGCUACAGGCUUAACACAUGCAAGUCGAGGGGAAACGACGGGGAAGCUUGCUUCCCCGGGCGUCGACCGGCGCACGGGUGAGUAACGCGUAUCCAACCUGCCUCUGACUGAGGGAUAACCCGUCGAAAGUCGGCCUAAUACCUCAUGGCAUCGUCUGCGGGCAUCCAACGACGAUUAAAGAUUUCAUCGGUCAGGGAUGGGGAUGCGUCUGAUUAGCUUGUUGGCGGGGUAACGGCCCACCAAGGCUACGAUCAGUAGGGGUUCUGAGAGGAAGGUCCCCCACAUUGGAACUGAGACACGGUCCAAACUCCUACGGGAGGCAGCAGUGAGGAAUAUUGGUCAAUGGGCGAGAGCCUGAACCAGCCAAGUAGCGUGCAGGAAGACGGCCCUAUGGGUUGUAAACUGCUUUUAUGCGGGGAUAAAGUGAGGGACGUGUCCUUCAUUGCAGGUACCGCAUGAAUAAGGACCGGCUAAUUCCGUGCCAGCAGCCGCGGUAAUACGGAAGGUCCUGGCGUUAUCCGGAUUUAUUGGGUUUAAAGGGAGCGUAGGCCGUGGAUUAAGCGUGUUGUGAAAUGCAGGUGCUCAACGUCUGCACUGCAGCGCGAACUGAUCCACUUGAGUGUGCGCAACGCAGGCGGAAUUCGUCGUGUAGCGGUGAAAUGCUUAGAUAUGACGAAGAACUCCGAUUGCGAAGGCAGCUUGCGGGAGCACAACUGACGCUGAAGCUCGAAAGUGCGGGUAUCGAACAGG
rnacentral:rRNA from 1 species